rnacentral:lncRNA from 1 species
ACUAGCCUAGGAUUAAUAUCAGCCCAUUUUUUGGAGGAGAACCAACAAGACUGGCUAUUUGACUGGAUCCCCCAAUUGGUUUACUCCAAGAUUCCUCUUCAUUGGCUUAAGAAGAUACAAGACAGGAGUCUCCAAUCCUUAGACCAUGGACCAAUAUCAACCAUGGCCAGUUAGCAACCCGGUAACAAAGCAGGAGCAGCCCUGAGAAGUAAAUACUGUUGCUGUCAUCCCUAUUUUACAAAUGAGGAAACAAAAAUAGAGAAAUGAAGCAAUUUGUCCAAGAUCACUCUGCUGGCAAGCAACAGAACCAGGAGUUUAACCCAGAUCAUAGCAGAGAACAAACAAGGAGGAGGAAGAACAGGAGGAGGAGGGGGAAAAGAGGAGGAAGAAGAAAGAAAGAUUAAAGAAGAAGAAAGAAGGAAGGAGGAGGGGAGAAAAAGAAAAUAAUAAUAAUGAUAGUCUCAAUUUUAGACUAUUAUGUACCAUAUUAAGGACUUAACAUUCACUCCCUCACUCAUACAUUUUUUCAAGUUGCCGUUCUGCGGAAAACACUCUGCACAGUGGGACUAUGGGGGCACAUGGUCAGCCAAGCACCAUUCCAUAAAGGGACUAAGUGACAGAACAGACUGGAUGUGAGAUGGCAACUGUACUUCAGGUACUUUUCCAAGAAAGGGAGUUUCUUGACCCAAAAAAGAUAGGCAUUUUAUCUUAACUGAUUUUAAUGCAUAAAGAACCUGACCAACAGUUCACACAUUCCUCCUGGAGAGAAGUCAGGAUGAGGAGAUUUUAAAAAAAAGCUUUCCCUACAAUUCCAGGAAGAAAUUACUCUUCUAGGCCACCAGGAUGGUGGUGGUAAUCGAGCAAAUGCAUGCAAACCUUGAUGCAACUGCUAACUUUUACCAAAAAAGAAACUGAUUUUCUACUGACUGACUUCCUCCGUUUUGGCUUUAAAGUCAGCCAUUAGGCAUCUAUUGCUGUCAUAUUCCCCAUGGGUCUUAGGUUGGACCAUCUGUUCUUACAAACAUCCUAAAAGAAACAAUAGGCCAGGCACGGUGGCUCGUGCCUGUAAUCCCAGCACUUUGGGAGGUUGAGGCAGGUGGAUCACAAAGUCAGGAGCUCA